rnacentral:rRNA from 1 species
UACGUAGGGUGCAAGCGUUGUCCGGAAUCAUUGGGCGUAAAGCGCGCGUAGGUGGCUUUGUAAGUCCGUUGUGAAAGUCAAAGGCUCAACCUUUGAAUGCCGAUGGAUACUGCGGAGCUAGAGUACGGAAGAGGCGAGUGGAAUUCCUGGUGUAGCGGUGGAAUGCGCAGAUAUCAGGAGGAACACCAAGUAGCGAAGGCAGCUCGCUGGGACGUUACUGACACUAAGGCGC